ACCGCCACACUUUUCCCCCUUUCUCCCAAAAGAAGCAUAGCUUCUGAAUAAACUAAGGAAGAAAGAAAAAAAGGGAAAUGGAAACAGGGGAAGCAGAGAAAGGAAAGUGAGAUCCGAGAAAGCAGAGAGGAAGAGAAGGUUGCGUCCGGAAGAAGAGGGAGACCGAGCCGUCGUGCCUACUGUCGUCCAUCUCGCGUCACCACCGUUUUGCCGAGCUACUUCGUGGCGCCAUCCUGCCUUGGCUGCCGCCAUCGUGCCACCGACCGAGGAGGCCGAGGGUCACUGUCUUCGAAGCUUCCAUCGUCACUAUGCACGCCGCCGCCUCUAGGUCCGUCACCGCCGCUGUUUUCUGUGACAUCGCCGAGCCCGACCCUGCGCCUCGCCGUCGUGUUGCUAUUAAGGGAGAAGGGAGCACGAACGACAACCACAGACAGAGAAGAGAGCGCGCAUGCAGAGGAGGUGAAGUUGCCGCUGUCACUGUCGCGUGUGGAGUCGCCGCCGUGCCCAGCCGUCGUCACCGCCGUUCCUCCACCGUCGUCGAAGGUCCAUCACCGCAACUGAAGCCUCUGCCUCUCAAGACGUGCACCGCUGCCAUGAGUUUCCCUCGCUGUUUGGUUCUGAUUCGGUGGAAAUCCAUUGCGCCAGAUCUAUCUUAAGUGGUUCACGACGAUUCUGUUCUUACCGGUUAGGACCAUCAGAGCUGCGACUGUGCUGCUCUUGGUUCCUUGCUAUGCGGGUUGAACUAUGCUCUUGUGUGCUGUGCUUAGAGACUGUGAUUGCUGGAGGAUGGUCGGAUUUGAUGCCGCCACUGUGAAAUCAGAGUUUUAAGGGUUUUGUUGCGUAAUUAAGUCGCGAACGAGGAACCGGAUGAAGCAUUAUGAAGAAUUAUACUGCAUUUGGUUUAUAUGUUGUUGUAUUAAUUAGAUUAUUUUCUUCCCCCGCCUUUGUUAUUAUAAGUUUGUAAGAGAGAUAGGAGUUGUGUGUUUUAUAUGUAUAUUAUAUUUUGAGAUAUUGUGUAAGGAGUAUUGUAUAUGAAUCUAUGCCUGCUUGCAUUUUUUCUUAAGAUAAAGUAUUUAUUUCCGAUUUUCAAAGAAAUCAGCGAUACGGUGUCGAGUCACAGGCUCCUAUUUUAAUAUUUAGUAUAUAAAGUAGUCGUAAUACUUCUCGCUAUCAGAGUGGCGCAGCCGGAGGUGUGACAUUCUAGUAGUGAGGGUGUUACAUUAUGGUAUCAGAGCAGUUCAUCCUGAUUAGAGUCUUGGGAAUGAACUAAUUAUGCUUCAUUUCAUUCUUUGGGUGUCGGUCAUGUUGUAGGUCUUGUCCAAGUAACAAGAAUUAGAAUUUUAUGCACAUGACUGCCUAUUAAUUAACACUGUUAGCUUGUCGUUGCAUAUCUGUUGAUGUUAAGUCUGGCCAACUUAAUGUUGAUGGCUAUGUGAACGGGAAAGUUAAUAGGUUAUUAAGGGCGAAUUGGAAUUGAUAAGUAAUAGGUAACGCUUAUUGCGCUGCUUGCGGAAGUUAGAAAUUAAUUCUCGAGGAUAUUCUUUUAUGUCUCGAAAAUUUUACUGAUGACUUGUAACUUGUUCUUUUAUA